rnacentral:rRNA from 1 species
UUGAACGCUGGCGGCAUGCUUUACACAUGCAAGUCGAACGGCAGCGCGGGCUUCGGCCUGGCGGCGAGUGGCGAACGGGUGAGUAAUGCAUCGGAACGUGCCCAGUAGUGGGGGAUAGCCCGGCGAAAGCCGGAUUAAUACCGCAUACGACCUGAGGGUGAAAGCGGGGGACCGAAAGGCCUCGCGCUAUUGGAGCGGCCGAUGUCGGAUUAGCUAGUUGGUGGGGUAAAGGCUUACCAAGGCGACGAUCCGUAGCUGGUCUGAGAGGACGACCAGCCACACUGGAACUGAGACACGGCCCAGACUCCUACGGGAGGCAGCAGUGGGGAAUUUUGGACAAUGGGGGCAACCCUGAUCCAGCCAUGCCGCGUGCGGGAAGAAGGCCUUCGGGUUGUAAACCGCUUUUGCUCGGGAAGAAAUCCUCUGGGCUAAUACCCCGGGGGGAUGACGGUACCGGAAGAAUAAGCACCGGCUAACUACGUG